ACUCAACGUUAAUUCUUUAAAAAGGGUGAGUUUAAGUUGUAAAAGCAAGCUGCCUUGAGCAGAUCCUUGAUCAGCUUGUUAGCCCUAAACUUGUUUUUAAGGAGUUU
rnacentral:sRNA from 6 species